UACGUAGGGUGCGAGCGUUUGUCCGGAAUUAUUGGGCGUAAAGAGCUCGUAGGCGGUCUGUCGCGUCGGUCGUGAAAACCUGCAGCUUAACCGUGGGCUUGCAGCCGAUACGGGCAGGCUAGAGUUCGGUAGGGGAGACUGGAAUUCCUGGUGUAGCGGUGGAAUGCGCAGAUAUCAGGAGGAACACCAGUGGCGAAGGCGGUGCUCUGGGCCGGAACUGACGCUGAGGAGCGAAAGCGUGGGGAGCAAACAGG
rnacentral:rRNA from 1 species